rnacentral:rRNA from 1 species
UACGUAGGGUGCAAGCGUGUCCGGAAUCAUUGGGCGUAAAGCGCGCGUAGGUGGCUUCGUCAGUCCGUUGUGAAAGUCAAAGGCUCAACCUUUGAAUGCCGAUGGAUACUGCGAAGCUAGAGUACGGAAGAGGCGAGUGGAAUUCCUGGUGUAGCGGUGGAAUGCGCAGAUAUCAGGAGGAACACCAAUAGCGAAGGCAGCUCGCUGGGACGUUUACUGACACUAAGGCGCGAAAGCGUGGGGAGCGAACAGG